rnacentral:rRNA from 1 species
GAUCCUGGCUUAGGAUUAACGCUGGCGGCGUGCCUAAUACAUGCAAGUCGAAUGGUAGCAAUACCAUGGCGAACGGGUGAGUAACACGUAGGUAACCUGUCUUUAAGCCGAGGAUAACCAUUGGAAACGAUGGAUAAUACUGGAUAGGACAUUUGAAGGCAUCUUUAGAUGUUUAAAGAUUUAUCACUUAGAGAGGGGCCUGCGGCGCAUUAGCUAGUUGGUGAGGUGAAGGCUUACCAAGGCGAUGAUGCGUAGCCGGACUGAGAGGUUGAACGGCCACAAUGGAACUGAGAACGGUCCAUACUCCUACGGGAGGCAGCAGUAGGGAAUUUUCGGCAAUGGGCGGAAGCCCUGACCGAGCAACGCCGCGUGAACGAAGAAGUAUUUCGGUAUGUAAAGUUCUUUUAUUAGGGACGAAAAGACAGAUUGACGGUACCUAAUGAAUAAGCUCCGGCUAACUACGUGCCAGCCGCCGC